GUCGAGCGAGAAGGUGUAGCAAUACACUUGUAAAGCGGCGAACGGGUGAGGAAUGCAUGGGUAACCUACCCUCGAGUGGGGAAUAACUAGCCGAAAGGUUAGCUAAUACCGCAUACGUUUCCGGGACUUCGGUUUCGGAAGGAAAGCAGCACCGUGGGUGUUGCGCUCAUGGAUGGGCUCAUGUCCUAUCAGCUUGUUGGUGAGGUAACGGCUCACCAAGGCUUCGACGGGUAGCUGGUCUGAGAGGACGAUCAGCCACACUGGCACUGCGACACGGGCCAGACUCCUACGGGAGGCAGCAGUAAGGAAUAUUGCGCAAUGGACGAAAGUCUGACGCAGCGACGCCGCGUGGGGGAUGAAGGUCUUCGGAUUGUAAACCCCUUUCGGGAGGGAAGAUGGAAUGGGUAACCAUUCGGACGGUACCUCCAGAAGCAGCCACGGCUAACUUCGUGCCAGCAGCCGCGGUAAUACGAAGGUGGCAAGCGUUGUUCGGAUUCACUGGGCGUACAGGGAGCGUAGGCGGUUGGGUAAGCCCUCCGUGAAAUCUCCGGGCCUAACCCGGAAAGUGCAGAGGGGACUGCUCAGCUAGAGGAUGGGAGAGGAGCGCGGAAUUCCCGGUGUAGCGGUGAAAUGCGU
rnacentral:rRNA from 1 species